GAUUGAAGACAAAAAUCCUCCAUGGGCAUUUGAACAAAAUCAAGAAGAAUUCUCAAAUGCUCAAAUAUGAGAUGACAAUGCCCAUGUUGGAGGCCAACUUUGAAAAGAAGGAAUCAAGAAUUGAACAUCCUCAAACCGACUUUUUGCUAAUUGGAGAUGCCGAAGAAAAAGAAAAGUAAUUAGAGUCAACUGUUGUCAUGGAAAAUAUGGUUGAAAUUGACUCUAGUUCAGAGGGAAAAGAGGGUGUCAAAAUUUGAGCAAAUUUGCCAAUCCGAUGGUUGAAGUCAAUCCCCUCUACUUCAGAAAUUUUGCCUCAAAACCUAAAGUACUCAAACGCGUGAACUACUCUAUGUGUGCCUCUGACUAUGUUGUAAGAAACUUGACAUGAUCAUGAAGAAGUUUCCUCUAAUUCAGCUGUGCUUUUAUGCUCAUGCGUGCUUGCAAAUGAACAGGAAGAGAGAGACUCUAAAAAUCGUCAAGGCACCAUUGUUUUGGCCUUUAAACGCCAAAAAUAGUAAUUAACUUCAUUGAAAAUAGGAACAAAAAUUUAGGGUACACUAUUCUCCAUGAUGUUCUUAUUAUCUUUGAUGGUGUCUUGAAUUCUCCCAAGGGGGAACUAAAUGUCUUUGAUGCAAUUGUAGAGUAGCAAGUAGUAAGUUUCUACUAUAACAAGGUUGAAGUUGUUGUCUUUACACCAAUUGAGACCAAAUAGCAUAGCAUUUGUCUCAGCUCAGUUACUUGUUCCAAGUCCUAAAGGCUUUGAGAAAGCCAUUAUGAAUCUUCCAAAACAAUCUCCGACAACUCCACCAGCAGCACACUGUCCAUCAAUACAUGAGUCAUUAAAGUUAAUCUUGACAUAGAGAAUGGGAGGUUUAAUCCAUUUCACAGGGAUUCUGUCAAAUUCAGUCAGGUAGAGGUCUGUCAUUCUGUACAUAUCUUCCCAUCUUUCACUCAUAUUAACCUUCUUCAAAUGGAGAUUAAUGAGAUGAGAGAUGUUGAAACAUCUAAGAGCUUAGGAUCUUAUUGGAGAAGGGGUUUCAUCAUCAUAUCUUGAGCUGUUUCUGAAUUUCCAAAGUUCCCAUAAGAUGACUGGGGGUAUGAUCAUGAACAUGAAAGCAGCAAUAACGUUUUUAGCUUUCAUUUUCUAGAAGCUAAGUAUGAGGUAUCUCAGAGAAGGAACUCUUGAGUUAAUGCCUAGGGGCCCUGCAAAAAAAGACCAAAUUUCUUUAGCAAAAAGACCAUUAAAGAACAGGUGAUCAAUAGUUUUCAAAUCUGGCCUCUGACAUCUCUUACACAACAGCUGUAUAUAAAGGCAAGAUUAAUCCCAUAGGAUGCAAUCUUAUCAUCUGUGGGGAUUCUAUCAUGAAUUGCCCUCCAGAACAAAAAAGACAUCUUAAAUGGGAUCGCGCUAUGCCAAAGCUUAGAGUCAAGAUAGUUGGGUUGUCUUUUCUGUCUUAUUAAGUUCCAGGCAGAAGAGACAUUGCACUUUCCAGUGCUUGAGAUAGUCCAUAGAGCUUUGUCACUCUUGUUUUAACGAAUACCCAAAGCAAGAUCUUGAAUAGACAGCUUCACAUGUUCAAGAGGUGCUGAAGAAGAAGUAUGAGGGUUCUUAUUGACAUACUUUCCUCUCCUCUUGGCGGCAUCCCUCUCUAUCAUUAAUGUCAUCUUGCAUGGUUUCUUCAGAUCCAUUGCUGCUAGGUACCUGGCUGUUGAAAUUGGAGUAGCUUGAUCUUCUCUCUUUAUUGUCCAAAGAGGUUGUAAACUUCUGCAGUCAGAGUCCUUAUGUCCUUGCAUUUUGCAGUGGAAGCAAAAGGAAGGCCUUGUUUUCAACACUGUGGUUUUGUCCAUGACAAGAGGAUGCCCAACAGGGGCCAAGAUCCUACAUAACGCAUCCCAUUCAUAGAAAUGCCAUGGGAGGUCUGGAAGAGUAACCCAAACAACAACUAUAGUGGUUUAUGCCUCUGGUUUAAAUUUGGUUGUCCAUUUUUAUAUUUUCAUCACAUGAGUAACCCCAAUAUUGAUGGUGUCUCUGGAAUAUACAUCCAAGUGGUCUUCUUUCAUAUCAAAAUCGAUGAAAACAUGUCUCAUAGCAAAUUCCUUUCUAAUGAUAUCAAUAGAGGGGCAUAUACGAUUAAACUUA